AUGAUCUCUGCAUCCCUCCUGCUGCUGCUGCUGGCAGCCGUACACUAUGUGUUCUGUGCUACUGAGCUCAUCCAGCCAGACUCAGUGGUGAUAAAACCAGGAGAGACUUUAACCCUCACCUGUAGAGUGUCUGGAGCUUCGAUCACUGAUAGCAGCAGCCACUUUGGAACAGCUUGGAUUCGACACCCUGCAGGAAAACCUUUGGAAUGGAUCAACGCCAUUUAUUAUGAUGGGAGUAGUCAUAAGAAAGAUUCACUGAAAGACAAGUUCAUCGUCUCUCAAGACAGUUCCAGUAACACCGUGACCUUACGGGGACAGAACAUGCAGAGUGAAGACACAGCUGUGUAUUACUGUGCUCGUCAACCACAGUGA